GGAUGUGUGGCCGAGAGGUCUAAGGCGUCUGACUCAAGAUCAGAUCUCGAAAGAGGCGCGAGUUCGAACCUCGUCGCAUCCA
rfam:Pachysolen tannophilus NRRL Y-2460 unplaced genomic scaffold PACTA_scaffold_1, whole genome shotgun sequence.